UACGAAGGGGGCUAGCGUUGCUCGGAAUCACUGGGCGUAAAGCGCACGUAGGCGGAUUGCUAAGUCAGGGGUGAAAUCCUGGAGCUCAACUCCAGAACUGCCUUUGAUACUGGCGAUCUUGAGUCCGGGAGAGGUGAGUGGAACUGCGAGUGUAGAGGUGAAAUUCGUAGAUAUUCGCAAGAACACCAGUGGCGAAGGCGGCUCACUGGCUCGGUACUGACGCUGAGGUGCGAAAGCGUGGGGAGCAAACAGG
rnacentral:rRNA from 1 species